rnacentral:pre_miRNA from 1 species
UCAAAUGCUCAGACUCCUGUUGUGGCUGUUUGUGCACCAUGGAUUUUGAGCAUGUGCU